CUUUAUUGUGGAAGAUAAGAUGUGAGCUCACAGCUGUGCAGGGAGAGCACACAGUGAGGUUUUGCAUACAUCAGCAUUUCCAGUGAAGUGAUGAAGCAGCUUUGAAUGUGUGUUAAUGAGUCUAAGCAGCAAACAGAGAUCAGUGAGUGAAUCUGCUGACACACAGAAUCCAGAGCAGCAGCAUCAUGGAGAGGAUCCUGCUGUGUGUCUGCUGCUUCUCAGGCUGGUUUGUCUCCACAUGCUGUCCCCGUCAGUACCACUAUGUGGAUGAUGCAAAGACUUGGACUGAAGCUCAGAGCUACUGCAAACAGAUUCAAACAGACCUGGCCUCCAUGAAAGAAAGACGAGCGUGUGAAAAGCGGACAGUUCAGUUCACCCUUAAACGCCCCACAGAGAGAGACAGAUGCAGCUGUGUGGCCUGGAGCCAGGGAAACAUCAUCGAUGGAGAGUCGUGCUGCUCACAGUUACAGGGACGGUUCAGGUCCAGGAACAGAAGCAGCUCCAUUGAUCCGACUCCUCUGAUGGCUGAUCAAUCAGUUUGAUCUGUUUGAUUAUUGAUCAGUGAUGUCAGAGUGGAGUCAGUGUGAUGUUGUUGUUGUGUGUUUGAGACUUUUAGUGUCCAUGAAGGUCUCUGCUGCCGUAGAUCCUCUGAACUGUGACAGAGGUCUCACUCUGGAGGAAACUCUCAGCACUUUCCAGCAGCUCCUCCAUCAUGGAGGACGUUCCCUCACUGUAACAGGUGGAGGAGAGAGGAGAGGAAGCACAGGUGGAUCCUCUGAGGAAGAGGAGCGUUCCUACAAACCACA
ensembl:lncRNA